UCGACUGUGCUCGUACAGGAUCACUUCUAUAGUUGAUUCUACUACUGAGAAUACCAGCGACAGGUUUCGUCAACACCCGUGAUGAUGAGUUAGUCGCUCUGCCGGUUAGGAAAUGUUUACAACGUCGAUGACUCGAAAAAGUUACUUUUUCACGGCAUCGAGCCAUUCUGAGCGGAC
ensembl:snoRNA